ACAGUGCCAUGGCCGUCUGAGCUAAGGUCUGAUAAAAGAGCAAAAGGCGCAGAUCUCUGCGCCUUUUUU
rnacentral:sRNA from 1 species